rnacentral:rRNA from 1 species
UAGCAUAAUAAAUUGUUCCUUAAUUGGGAACUGGAAUGAAGGGUUGAACUAUUUUUGAAUUUGUUAUAUUUAAAUAAGUGAAUUUUUAUUAUAAGUAAAAAUACUUAUAUUUUAUAAAGGGACGAUAAGACCCUAGAAGCUUUAAUUUUAAAAAUAUAAGGUAUUCAUAUUUAUAAUUUAUAUUUUAAAAAAAUUUUGAUUGGGGAAAUAUAAAUUAAUAAAAUAAUUUAUUUUAAAAGUGUUAUAUAUAUAUAUUUAACGAUCUUUUAAAUAAGAAUAAAAGGAUUAGUUACUCUAGGGAUAACAGCACGAUAAUUUUGGAUAGAUCAUAUAUAUAAAAUUGAUUGUGACCUCGAUGUUGAAUUAAAAUAUUCUUUAUAAAGCAGAAGUUAUAAAAGAAG